UCCGUCUCCUCUUUCGCCUCCUCCGCUUUGGGAGCCCCGGGCUACUCUUUCACAGCCCCUGUUGCCCUGUGAUCUGUAGGUCCUUGGGGACGCACAGUUAAGAUGACAGGACAUCCUGGAAGCUGGGAAAUGAUAUGUAUUCAUUUCCUACCACCGUAGUGGAAGAGAGAUUUUCCCUAUCUUUACAACUGAUAGCAUUUCCAACAGUAAGCUGUGAGAUUCUGCUUGAAAUCACCUCUCAAACAAAUAAAAAACAGACCUGGGAGACAUGCUACACUCAUUCUGCUGAGGAAAUAGGUAAGUAACAAUUUUUAACAAAUGAAAUACAUUACUACUUAAUUUUAUUCAAAAUUCACCAACUUAAUGUGCUUUAUAAAUAUUCUCAUACCUUUGAAGCUCUACUGAUAAAACAUAAUUUACAGUUAAUGAAAAAGUGAAGUUAAAAUAAAUACAAUCAUAUUUUCAAGGUGACAAAAUUAGAAGGUGACAAUGGUGAUUGAAACACAGACAUAUCUGACCCAAGGGUCAAGUCAAGCCGUUCUAUUACUUGGGAUAUUUUCCCUGCUUCUAUCUGGUUCAGUGAUGUGGGUCAUGAGCGUCCUACCAGGAGCUGCUACGCUCUGCUCCACUGUGUCUGUGAGGUGCAUUUUACUUUGCAGGUUUUUGCACUGCCUCACUA
ensembl:lncRNA LINC03104 long intergenic non-protein coding RNA 3104